GAGGUAUCACUAUUCAACUUAUCUGGGGUGAACCGGGUCAGGACUUGACUGAAGCAGCCCUAAGCUUUCAGUAAGUGUGGGUAGUGAUACUUGAAG
rnacentral:SRP_RNA from 1 species